AGCACUUGUGUUUGUUUUUGUUUAGUCUGUGGGCAAAGACCAUAUAUGGGUGUGAAAACCAAGUCCCUUCUUUGCAACCCAGAACUCAUUGUUCAGUAUGAUUUUUAGUACAUGCAAGAAGAAAUGUA